CGGGGAGAGCCCGGGCCUUGCUCCCCGCUCGUGUGGCCGCAGCGGAGCCUGGGCCUUGCUCCCCGCUUGUGUGGCCGCAGCGGAGCCCGAGCAUCGCCGCCGGUGGAGCAGCCCGGGCUGCGGGCCGGGCCACACGCGUGGGAAAAACCGCGGAGUUCUGUAAAAAUCCACCCAAAACAGCGAUGUGUGCGCAAUGACGCGGCUGGGGGAGCGGAGAAAGCUUCAGGGAGAGCUCAGAGCCCCUUCCAGGGCCUAAAGGGGAUUCAGGAGAGCUGGAGAGGGACCGAGGACAAGGGAUGGAGGGACAGGACACAGGGAAUGGCUUUAAACUGACAGUGGGGAGAUUUAGAUGGGAUUUGGGAAGGAAUUCCUGGUUGGAAGGGUGGGCAGGGGCUGGGCUGGAAUUCCCAGAGCAACUGUGGCUGCCCCUGGAUCCCCGACAGUGCCCAAGGCCAGGUUGGACAUUGGGGCUUGGAGCAGCCUGGGACAGUGGGAGGUGUCCCUGCCAUGGCAGGGGUAGAACUGGAUCAGCUUUAAGGUCCUUUCCAACUCUUAGCGAUUCCGUGAUUCUAUAAAAAUCAAAGGCACCUUUGCACUGACUUCAUAGACAACAGAUUUAUCCCCCUGGUUUAACUAUUUGUAUUCAUUUUCUACCAGUGGAAGGUGUCCCUGUCGUGGCAGGGGUGGCACUGGACGGGAUUUAAGGUCCCUCCAACCCAAACCAUUCUGAGAUUUUGACAUUUGCGAAGUUGGGGACAGAGAAUUAGGAGCCAAAUGUAGAAGGAGAAGCAUUUGGGACAGGAUGGUAUUUCCCCAGGACUGGAACAUCUGUCUGCAGUUGUCUUCCAGCACCAAGCACGUGAAUUUGCAUCCAAGUAAACUGGGGCUUAAACCGACACGUGAACUUUGCGGUCAAAGAUUAUGAUGGGGUGGGAUGGAAAAACUGAAAAGGAAGGGUUUUAUUAAAUGCCUUGAGAUGUCAAUUCACAACUGUUUCAGCCUGGAUUAAAUUCCUUGUUAAGGACUAA